UAUAAAGUAGGAGACAUGUCCUUGCCCCUGCUAACGCCCUCGUCCCCUCCCUUCCUCUCCUUUUCUAAUAUUUUCCCUCUUUCGUAAGGUGAUCAAAGGCUUAUCUAUACACACAACACAAUAUUUUGCUACUUAAAGGUGUUAAUACUACUACACUUCAAGCGGUAUAAUCGUUGACGUUACAUGUAUUGGCUCGGACAUUCCUAUACCAUCAAACAUUGUCCGGAACAUUGCUCGGAACAUUCGCGUGAAUAUGUUCGAUGCACCGUUGUUGCGAACUUACUGAAGCAUUGUUCGGAUUAUUGUUCAUAGGUUUCGUGUGGACGUUUCCUGGGUCGAACACACAUCUAACAGAACAUUUUGAUACCUGAGGUCGUGAAGAACGGACGUCGUUGUCGAAAUACCGGAGUUGAGUGUACACGAGACGAAGUGUUUAAGUUUAAUAGACCUUCAUCAGUGUCAUCCUCUCCUCUCGGAUCCUAAAGAGUGACAGUGAAGACCCAGAACACACAAAGAAGCUCAAGAAACCAGACGCGUGGAAUGGUAUAAAAGGGCUAUUACACUGAGCAGAUUUUCCGUGGAUCUUCAGUCAAACCACGAUAGCCCGCUGGCGUGGCUCUCAUAUUUCUGUGGUUUUCUGACGUGUUCACAAUCUUCCAAAGCUACGGUAGAGUUCCUUGAAGGACGACGGUAUUACUCACCAUCAUCAUCAUCAGCAAUAACAAGAAAUAAAUGAGAACCACGCUAGCAAAAAUCGUGGUUUGACUUAAGAUCCACGGAAGGUUUGCCCAGUGUAAUAGCCCCUUUAGUGACUUCGUGUGGACCGUGCCGAUGCCAUGAGGAAAAGGUCCCCGAUUGCCCAGCUGCGGAGGGAGGCAAGGCAGCCAGGAAGGAGUCAGAAGGAUGAUAGAAGGGUUAACAUGCUGUAGGGUGGGUUCACUGCGACAUUGGGGAAAUUCGAACCAAGUUGAAACACUUCAAAUCUGAUGUGAAAGAAAAAAAAGGGCGAAGGACCUUUACUAUCAGGAAGGAACAGGUGGCGGCCCAGCACAGAAGGUGGCGUACUCAGCGGCGGAGGAAGCCGUGCUGAGCAUGAUUCCUACAGCGGCCGUCACGGGCAUUCCUAACCCAGACCAAGUGGCACUAACACAUAAAAAUAUAUUUGUUAUGAUCAGAAAUAUGAUUCUUACUGAAUGAUAACUAUUAACCAUUAAAUAUUAUGUGUAAUACUAACUACACAUACAGUAUCUUGUGCUAACUACAUAGUGUUCACCAGAAAGUCAAAAUGUAUAUACACAUUAGUUAUAUUGUUGUAUUAUACAUUUACCACCUAUAAAACAGUAAGUUAGGACCAAGUUUAACAUUUGAAAUAGAUCUAAUACUUGUUAUAUAUUUUUAGGCUUAAAUCUACAGUAAAUAUUCAUUUAAUGUAUGAUAUUUAGUAUCUAUAGGAGAUAUAAAUUCCUCAAGGCUCCCGGGAGGGUGUAGGAGCUUAGCAAUGGUUUAAUAAUACUGCUGUACAGCAUUUAUAUGUUGUGAUUUCCUUACAGCAUACCAGGAUGCUGCGAUGGCUGUAGAGGAGUGGAGGCAGGUGCAGCCUGCCAUCGACGUUGCAGCGAUGAAUAGGGACGAGCAGCUCCAUCUUCAUGUCAGGAGGAAUGGUACCAGAUUGUCAUCAGCAGCCAAAACUGCAUGCAACCUAUGGAUCAUGGCUUCACCUGCAGCUUUCAACAGUUCCACACCUAUGUCACAAAUACCUGAAGUGGUAUGCCAUGAGACCACUCAAGAAGUCUGACGGACAGGCGAAUAGUGUGCACACUCUCUCGGUGAGGACUGGUUACCCGUGUGGGUGGAGCAACGCCUGGCAGUGGAGACUUGCUGUGGCUGACCAGCAGUGGGCACUGUACACCACGCCUGGAAGCAAGAACAGCGAGAUGAAAGGCAGCCUCGUGAUCAGUCAUGUCUUGAAACACCCAAAGAAAACCUUUGUAUUUGAAUUUCUGUAAUGGAAUACUAUUAUAAAGUUAAAUAAAGACUGAUGCAGGCACUCGUCUUGUUUAAA